CCCUUAUUUAGAGUGGCGGAGACACAUAGGGUCUGUGAAGCCCGGCAACCCCGUAGGCAAUGGCAGUGAUUUGAUGACUGAGCUGUUGCAAGGAAGGUGCCAACCUGAGCGAAGAUAUCCGGAUUAUACCGGAAGUUCGAACAAUAAGAG
rnacentral:ncRNA from 2 species